AAGUUUUUGAUUUUAUUAUUAGUUGUUUAUGGUACUUUACUAUGUCAGGUAGAUUUAUUUAAACUAUUUUUAUGUUGUGAUAAGUUAUUCGGAAUUACUUAUAGCUGUUUGAUGAUUUAUUAUUUGUUAUUAAAUUUUUGGCUAAGAGGUCAAAAAUUGUUGAAUAUUCUUAUUAUUUGUCUUUAUGAAAGGGUUAGAGUUACCCAUAAUUUAUAUUUGUGUUACAACUUUUGUAAAAGUGUUUAUUAUAUUUGAAUUUUCUUUAUGGAUCAUUUUAUCUUUUAAUUUUUAGGGUUUUAUUUAUGGUUAAAUUAGUAAUAUUAAUAUAAGUUUUGUUUCUCGAGAAUUGCCUGUCUGUUUAUUAAAAACAUUUCCACUUUUAAAUCUUGGUGGUAGUGCCUGCUCUAUGCUUUAAGUAAAUGGCCGCAGUAUCUUGACUGUGCGAAGGUAGCAUAAUUAAUUGCCUUAUAAUUGAAGGCUUGUUUGAAUGGUUUGACAAGGUAACAUUGAACAUUACUUAUUUAAUUGAAUUUAAUUAUAGGGGCACAGAAUCCCUUUGUAUUAAUUAGACGGAAAGACCCCGGGAUCUUGGUAUUUUGUCUGGGGCAGAUCACAGUGUUUCACACGUGAGUUAGACCCUAUUGGUGCAUUGGUUUAAGUUACCCCGGGGAUAACAGUGUAAUAGUUUAUUAGAGAUCAUAUCGAAUUUACUGUUUGCCACCUCGAUGUUGACUUAGGUUUAAAUUUGGGCGCAGUAGUUCAAAUUGUUGGUCUGUUCGACCUU
rnacentral:rRNA from 1 species